rnacentral:rRNA from 1 species
GUAGGUGGCAAGCGUUGUCCGGAAUUAUUGGGCGUAAAGCGCGCGCAGGCGGUUCUUUAAGUCUGAUGUGAAAGCCCACGGCUCAACCGUGGAGGGUCAUUGGAAACUGGAGAACUUGAGUACAGAAGAGGAAAGCGGAAUUCCACGUGUAGCGGUGAAAUGCGUAGAGAUGUGGAGGAACACCAGUGGCGAAGGCGGCUUUCUGGUCUGUAACUGACGCUGAGGCGCGAAAGCGUGGGGAGCAAACAGGGAUUAGAUACCCUGGUAGUCCACGCCGUAAACGAUGAGUGCUAGGUGUUAGGGGGUUUUCCGCCCCCUUAGUGCUGCAGCUAACGCAUUAAGCACUCCGCCUGGGGAGUACGGCCGCAAGGCUG